rnacentral:tRNA from 22 species
GCGAGAGUGGCGGAAUUGGUAGACGCACCAGAUUUAGGUUCUGGCGGUUAACCCCGUGGGGGUUCGAGUCCCCCCUUUCGCACCA